rnacentral:rRNA from 1 species
UUAGAGUUUGAUCAUGGCUCAGAGCGAACGCUGGCGGCAGGCCUAACACAUGCAAGUCGAGCGGCCGUAGCAAUACGGCAGCGGCAGACGGGAGAGUAACACGUGGGAACGCGCCCUUCGGUUCGGAAUAACUCAGGGAAACUUGGGCUAAUACCGGAUACGCCCUUACGGGGAAAGAUUUAUUGCCGAAGGAACGGCCCGCGUCCGAUUAGCUAGUUGGUGAGGUAAUGGCUCACCAAGGCGACGAUCGGUAGCUGGUCUGAGAGGAUGACCAGCCUCACUGGGACUGAGACACGGCCCAGACUCCUACGGGAGGCAGCAGUGGGGAAUAUUGGACAAUGGGCGCAAGCCUGAUCCAGCCAUGCCGCGUGGAUGAUGAAGGCCUUAGGGUUGUAAAGUCCUUUCAGCGGGGAAGAUAAUGACGGUACCCGCAGAAGAAGCCCCGGCUAACUUCGUGCCAGCAGCCGCGGUAAUACGCC